UCCUACGGGGGGCAGCAGUGAGGAAUAUUGGUCAAUGGUCGGGAGACUGAACUAGCCAAGCCGCGUGAGGGAUGAAGGUACAGAGUAUCGUAAACCUCUUUUGUCAGGGAACAAAGGCGGGGACGUGUCCCCGGAUGAGUGUACCUGAAGAAAAAGCAUCGGCUAACUCCGUGCCAGCAGCCGCGGUAAUACGGAGGAUGCGAGCGUUAUCCGGAUUUAUUGGGUUUAAAGGGUGAGCAGGCGGUCUGUUAAGUCAGCGGUCAAAGCCCGGGGCUCAACCCCGGCCCGCCGUUGAAACUGGCAGG
rnacentral:rRNA from 1 species